UACGUAGGGUGCAAGCGUUAAUCGGAAUUACUGGGCGUAAAGCGUGCGCAGGCGGUUGGGCAAGGCAGAUGUGAAAUCCCCGGGCUCAACCUGGGAACUGCAUUUGUGACUGCACGGCUGGAGUGCGGCAGAGGGGGAUGGAAUUCCGCGUGUAGCAGUGAAAUGCGUAGAUAUGCGGAGGAACACCGAUGGCGAAGGCAAUCCCCUGGGCCUGCACUGACGCUCAUGCACGAAAGCGUGGGGAGCAAACAGG
rnacentral:rRNA from 1 species